CAUGCAAGUCGAGCGAACAGAUGAGAAGCUUGCUUCUCUGAUGUUAGCGGCGGACGGGUGAGUAACACGUGGGUAACCUACCUAUAAGACUGGGAUAACUCCGGGAAACCGGGGCUAAUACCGGAUAAUAUUUUGAACCGCAUGGUUCAAUAGUGAAAGACGGUUUCGGCUGUCACUUAUAGAUGGACCCGCGCCGUAUUAGCUAGUUGGUAAGGUAACGGCUUACCAAGGCGACGAUACGUAGCCGACCUGAGAGGGUGAUCGGCCACACUGGAACUGAGACACGGUCCAGACUCCUACGGGAGGCAGCAGUAGGGAAUCUUCCGCAAUGGGCGAAAGCCUGACGGAGCAACGCCGCGUGAGUGAUGAAGGUCUUCGGAUCGUAAAACUCUGUUGUUAGGGAAGAACAAAUUUGUUAGUAACUGAACAAGUCUUGACGGUACCUAACCAGAAAGCCACGGCUAACUACGUGCCAGCAGCCGCGGUAAUACGUAGGUGGCAAGCGUUAUCCGGAAUUAUUGGGCGUAAAGCGCGCGUAGGCGGUUUCUUAAGUCUGAUGUGAAAGCCCACGGCUCAACCGUGGAGGGUCAUUGGAAGCUGGGAAACUUGAGUGCAGAAGAGGAGAGUGGAAUUCCAUGUGUAGCGGUGAAAUGCGCAGAGAUAUGGAGGAACACCAGUGGCGAAGGCGGCUCUCUGGUCUGUAACUGACGCUGAUGUGCGAAAGCGUGGGGAUCAAACAGGAUUAGAUACCCUGGUAGUCCACGCCGUAAACGAUGAGUGCUUAGUGUUAGGGGGUUUCCGCCCCUUAGUGCUGCAGCUAACGCAUUAAGCACUCCGCCUGGGGAGUACGACCGCAAGGUUGAAAC
rnacentral:rRNA from 1 species